GAUCUGUACCAGGGGGCGGCUCAGUACGAGAACCCUCCCCACAUCUACGCUCUGGCAGACAACAUGUACCGUAACAUGAUGAUCGAUGCUGAGGACCAGUGUGUAAUCAUCAGUGGGGAGAGUGGAGCUGGCAAGACCGUCGGAGCCAAAUUCAUCAUGAGUUACAUCUCCAAGGUAUCAGGAGGAGGCCCCAAAGUCCAG